rnacentral:lncRNA from 1 species
AGGACGGUCUUCAGUUUCUCAUCUCACCCCGUGCGCUCUCUCUCUCUCUCUCUCCUCUGUCUCUCUUUAGAUUCUUUGGGUAUAGAUCUCUCUAUUCCACUUCGUUUUCUCCCUAAGUUUGGAAUUAAAGCUGCAUAUUAUAGGCUGUUGAUUUUGUUCCUGGGUUUCUUUUGGUAUUCGAGAGGUCUGGUUGAUUUGAACCCAAGACGAAGUUGCUUCCACUAUAACUCUUCGCAACAAAGCAAGACUGGAGAAGAUGACCAUUUGUGAUUGGCUAUUUGCCGCGUCUAUCAGGUGUUGGGGUGUACUUUGCUUUGUCAAACAUGUGGUAUGCAAUUCUUGAAUCUUCCCAUGUGUCUGUCAUUCCUUCUUUGUUUUUCCUUUUAGGUUUGGAAUUAAAGCUAUGUAAUUUGGGUUGAGUUCAUUCUCAUAGGAUUGGAGUCAGUGCUGGAUAUGUAUCUUCAAAGAGCGAAGAGUGUAGGUCUUGUAAAACGUGGCUGCCAACGAAGUUGGACUCACUGUUUGUCUGCUCAUCCUCUUCCUCACUCUGCUUUGCGCAAUUCGAUUUUCUUUUUAUGGUUGCUGGGUGAUUUAUUUCUCUUACUCCUGUUGUUCCCCGUGAUGGCGCUGCUGAAACGUAAAAUUACGAGUUCUGUUGAGAGGCGAGACUUGCUUUUGUCGGAAUGUCAUAUACGUUGUUGUGUGCUACUUUGAUGACAAGUUUGACUUGGUUCUUUCAGUUAGCUUUCUGUUUCAUCUUGUUAAAUCUUAUGGAUCUAAUUGGCUUAUUAACUGACAUAUAACGAACUAUAUAUAUGAAUUAAGUUGUUAGUUAAAGCUGACAUAGGAUUCAUGGCAAUUCGAUACUAUAAAUGAAUUC